AAACCCUGUCUCAGUUCGGAUUGGAGUCUGCAACUCGACUCCAUGAAGCUGGAUUCGCUAGUAAUCGCGCAUCAGCCAUGGCGCGGUGAAUACGUUCCCGGGCCUUGUACACACCGCCGUCAAGCCAUGGGAGUCGGGAGUGCCUGAAGUUCGUGACCGUUUAGGAGCGACCUAGGGCAAGACUGAUGACUGGGGCUAAGUCGUAACAAGGUACC
rnacentral:rRNA from 1 species